UGAAAAGCCAGCGAGUGGUAAAUUUGGGGAUGAUUUUUGUAAUUUAUGGGGAGAAAGGUACUUCUCAGGAAGCGAGUUGUCUGCCUCUGAAUCGGGAACCCUUUUUCUCCCCUCCCCUGACUUCUGUCCAAACUUCGGGAAUGAUGCCAUUCUUUCUCUGCUGGUGACUGAAGCGUUUCUAAUUGAUCACAGACAGUUUGAGGUUCCUGCAUGUGUCCUCAGGGAUGCUUUGAACGUCUCUGGUCCUUAUCCAAGCUGAGCACAUGGUAAAGGUGGAAGAAUUAAAUGACACUGAAAAUUCUAGAGAAGAGGGGGAACAGAUUAAAACUGCAAGCACCAGAUGAAUGAAGACAGAGAAGAGUCAUUUAGGUAAGUCUCUGGUUAGAUGUUCUCGUAGUAAGCUCAGCUGCAGAAAGGGUGCACAUUGCCUCUGGGGGUUGUAGUGGGGGAUGGGGAAUACUAGAGCAGUCAUCAAUCUGAAAUUGCUUAGUUCCUCUGAGCCAUAGUGGUUUCAGUUAAAA